GCCCUUGUAGCGUAGGGGUUAUCGCGUCAUACUUGUAAUAUGAAGGUCACCAGUUCGAAUCUGGUCGGGGGCA
rnacentral:tRNA from 17 species